UUUCAGCUGAUUGCAUGGCCCCAGUACCCUGGUUCCUGCCCGUCUCCCCAUUUCUGCCUCUACAGACUUUGAGAGUGAUGCUCCAGGAUGGUACACUCUAUCUAGUCUGUGCCUUCAGAAACUCAUGGAAUCAUGAAUGCAGAUUUGCACAGUCCAGCUUACGAAGAAGACCUUGGAGGAAACUGGAGACUCUGAACCCCCACCUGAUAUGAAGAGUCACAAAG